UGGACCUGGACGCUACAGUGAGUAAACGAAACUCUUUGAUCUCUGUAUGCCCCAGCGGCCAAAGGGAUGUUGAAGCCACCACUGCCUGAAAGUGCAGUCCUUACUUGGGCGGCCAAUGUCACGUCAUCUCUACCUCAUCCUCCAGUGACCCAUGACAGCUUCAAGCAACGGCAUGCUGGAUUUUCUCCUGUUUUAGUCUUCGUCCAAACCUGUUCCACCUUCAGCCUGGACCCUCUUGAUAGCCUUAGCAUUCAGUUACAGCCUACCUCAGAAGCGAAAAGCACCACGUGUGGACUUUGAGUCUAAUGUUCUGCUGAUGCUUCCAGCCGUUGUUUACGAGACUCAUGCGAGGUGUACCGAGGCUGACGUAAGACGACUUGUUCGUACUCAACAGUUUUAAGCCCUUGUGAGAGCUUUUGUAAGUAACAGAAAUAGAGUGGUCAUUGAUCAACUGCUUGUAAAAUAAAAAAUGAUCCUAGCCA